rnacentral:rRNA from 1 species
AUUGAACGCUGGCGGCAGGCCUAACACAUGCAAGUCGAACGAGUGGCGGACGGGUGAGUAAUGUCUGGGAAACUGCCUGAUGGAGGGGGAUAACUACUGGAAACGGUAGCUAAUACCGCAUACCAUCAGAUGUGCCCAGAUGGGAUUAGCUAGUGGGUGGGGUAAAGGCUCACCGAGGCGACGAUCCCUAGCUGGUCUGAGAGGAGGACCAGCCAAACGGGAACUGAGACACGGUCCGAACUCCUACGGGAGGAAGCAGUGGGGAAUAUUGCACAAUGGGGGCAAGCCUGAUGCAGCCAUGCCGCGUGUAUGAAGAAGGCCUUCGGGUUGUAAAGUACUUUCAGCGGGGAGGCGUUACCUGCAGAAGAAGCACCGGCUAACUCCGUGCCAGCAGCCGCGGUAAUAC